UACGUAGGGUGCGAGCGUUAAUCGGAAUUACUGGGCGUAAAGCGUGCGCAGGCGGUUCGUUGUGUCUGAUGUGAAAGCCCCGGGCUCAACCUGGGAAUGGCAUUGGAAACUGGCGGACUGGAGUGUGGCAGAGGGGGGUGGAAUUCCGCGUGUAGCAGUGAAAUGCGUAGAGAUGCGGAGGAACACCGAUGGCGAAGGCAGCCCCCUGGGCCAACACUGACGCUCAGGCACGAAAGCGUGGGGAGCAAACAGG
rnacentral:rRNA from 1 species